rnacentral:rRNA from 1 species
GAAUAUUGGACAAUGGGGGGAACCCUGAUCCAGCCAUGCCGCGUGUGUGAAGAAGGCCUUUUGGUUGUAAAGCACUUUAAGCGAGGAGGAGGCUACUCUAGUUAAUACCUAGAGCUAGUGGACUGUACUCGCAGAAUAAGCACGGGCUAACGCUGGGACGGCAGCCCCGGUAAUACAGAGGGUGCAAGCGUUAAUCGGAUUUACUGGGCGUAAAGCGCGCGUAGGUGGCCAAUUAAGUCAAAUGUGAAAUCCCCGAGCUUAACUUGGGAAUUGCAUUCGAUACUGGUUGGCUAGAGUAUGGGAGAGGAUGGUAGAAUUCCAGGUGUAGCGGUGAAAUGCGUAGAGAUCUGGAGGAAUACCGAUGGCGAAGGCAGCCAUCUGGCCUAAUACUGACACUGAGGUGCGAAAGCAUGGGGAGCAAAC